GCAGAAGUGGCGGAAUUGGCAGACGCGCACGGUUCAGGUCCGUGUGGUAGCGAUACCGUGAGAGUUCGAGUCUCUUCUUCUGCA
rnacentral:tRNA from 6 species